rnacentral:rRNA from 1 species
UAGAGACCGGCGCACGGGUGCGUAACGCGUAUGCAAUCUACCUUUUACAGGGGAAUAGCCCAGAGAAAUUUGGAUUAAUGCCCCAUAGUAUAUAAUAAUCGCAUGGUUUUUAUAUUAAAGUUCCAACGGUAAAAGAUGAGCAUGCGUCCCAUUAGUUAGUUGGUAAGGUAACGGCUUACCAAGACUAUGAUGGGUAGGGGUCCUGAGAGGGAGAUCCCCCACACUGGUACUGAGACACGGACCAGACUCCUACGGGAGGCAGCAGUGAGGAAUAUUGGACAAUGGGCGCAAGCCUGAUCCAGCCAUGCCGCGUGCAGGAAGACGCAUCUAUGGUGUGUAAACUGCUUUUGUACAGGAAGAAACACUCCCUCGUGAGGGAGCUUGACGGUACUGUAAGAAUAAGGAUCGGCUAACUCCGUGCCAGCAGCCGCGGUAAUACGGAGGAUCCAAGCGUUAUCCGGAAUCAUUGGGUUUAAAGGGUCCGUAGGCGGUUUAAUAAGUCAGUGGUGAAAGCCCAUCGCUCAACGAUGGAACGGCCAUUGAUACUGUUAGACUUGAAUUAUUAGGAAGUAACUAGAA